rnacentral:rRNA from 1 species
CGAACGCUGGCGGCGUGCCUAACACAUGCAAGUCGAGCGAUGAAGCUCCUUCGGGAGUGGAUUAGCGGCGGACGGGUGAGUAACACGUGGGUAACCUGCCUCAUAGAGAGGGAUAGCCUUCCGAAAGGAAGAUUAAUACCUCAUAAGAUUGUAGUUUCGCAUGAAACAGCAAUAAAAGGAGCAAUCCGCUAUGAGAUGGACCCGCGUCGCAUUAGCUAGUUGGUAAGGUAAAGGCUUACCAAGGCGACGAUGCGUAGCCGACCUGAGAGGGUGAUCGGCCACAUUGGGACUGAGACACGGCCCAGACUCCUACGGGAGGCAGCAGUGGGGAAUAUUGCACAAUGGGGGAAACCCUGAUGCAGCAACGCCGCGUGAGUGAUGACGGUCUUCGGAUUGUAAAA